CACACCAUGAGAGCCGAUAACACCCGAAGCCUGUGAGCUAACCGUAAGGGGCAGCAGUCGAAGGUGGGGUUGGUGAUUGGGGUGAAGUCGUAACAAGGUACC
rnacentral:rRNA from 1 species